UACAGAGGGGGCAAGCGUUGUUCGGAAUUACUGGGCGUAAAGGGCGCGUAGGCGGCCAACUAAGUCAGACGUGAAAUCCCCAGGGCUCAACCCUGGAACUGCCUUUGAUCCUGACGGUCUGGAGAUCGGGAGAGGUUGGUGGAAUUCCGAGUGUAGAGGUGAAAUUCGUAGAUAUUCGGAGGAACACCAGAAGCGAAGGCGGCCAACUGGCCCGAUACUGACGCUGAGGCGCGAAAGCGUGGGGAGCAAACAGG
rnacentral:rRNA from 1 species